GAUGAACGCUGGCGGCGUGCCUAAUACAUGCAAGUCGAGCGAACGGACGAGAAGCCUGCUUCUCUGAUGUUAGCGGCGGACGGGUGAGUAACACGUGGAUAACCUACCUAUAAGACUGGGAUAACUUCGGGAAACCGGAGCUAAUACCGGAUAAUAUUUUGAACCGCAUGGUUCAAAAGUGAAAGACGUUCUUGCUGUCACUUAUAGAUGGAUCCACGCUGCAUUAGCUAGUUGGUAAGGUAACGGCUUACCAAGGCAACGAUGCAUAGCCGACCUGAGAGGAUGAUCAGCCACACUGGAACUGAGACACGGUCCAGACUCCUACGGGAGGCAGCAGUAGGGAAUAUUCCGCAAUGGGCGAAAGCCUGACGGAGCCACGCCGCGUGAGUGAUGAAGGUCUUCGGAUCGUAAAACUCUGUUAUUAGGGAAGAACAUAUGUGUAAGUAACUGUGCCCAUCUUGACGGUACCUACACAGAAAGCCCCGGCUAACUACGUG
rnacentral:rRNA from 1 species